AGAAGCUGGAGCGCUUGACGUGAUUGUUCUACUGGCUUAGGUCAGCCUCUAAAAGGAAGCACUUUGAAUGGCUUAGAAAAAUAUAUAAAACCAACGCUUGCUGCUAAAAAUUGGAAUUAAAUAUCUAUUUCAUUGCAAAUCCAAGUACAAACCCUGUCCGGCUACAGAUACAGACAUAGAUGCAAAGAUACUCUCACUUCGAUGCUAAUGAUGCGUCAUGGUCAUGGUACGAUGUCUAAAACAUUCGACGGGGAAUUUCAGCAGACGAUUUGGCAAGCUGUCAACGCCACUCACUGUGCGAAUGGGGGCGUGGCACAGGGUAGGACCAAGCCCAAGCCCAUGCCCAAAGAGUAAGGACAUCGACGAAUUCGAAGCUAAUGAUUGUCUGAAAGACGUUUGCCAGCAAAGACAUCAAUCAAUCCGAAGCCAAAGUGAAACCACCCCCAGGGGAGGAAACGCACUGACUGCCUCCCUCCUCUUCAGAACGUUCCACUUUUGGCUCCUCAAAUAAGUAAGCAAAACUUAUAAACUCAUUCGAAUCAUAUUUAAAAAUCAUCCAGCAACAGCUUGCUCCAUGCGCGUGUCCAUUCAUGAAUUAUUAGUUGGAGCUUAUCAAACGUGACCAAAAUCGGAACGGAAAAGAAAAUGUUAAUAAUAAACUAAUAAAAAAAGGAAACACAGUUGGCCUUUGCCAGCUGUUGUUGGGCAGCAGCAGCAGCAGGACCACGGACCGGGCCCAAGCAAGUGUGAAAAAUCAGCAAAAACGAUGCCAAGUCCACAGGAAAAACUGUGGACCAACCCACCAAGGCUACAAUUUUCAUUGUGGGAACGAGGAAAACCCCACAUGUGCUGUGACGUGCCAUGCUCGUUCUCGUUAUUAUCUUUUGGGCUGACCACAAGACGUGUCAACUUGUGGUGCCAUCUCACCAGUCGACUUCAGAGGCACUCCAGUGCUAUAUAUAAAUCAAGUUUUGGGAAAAACUUUGCCUGCGGCGGACAGCACCCGCAACACCCAACCCGAAAGCGUUCCUUUCUCGGUUCAGGGAAGCCGCUUAUAAAUUUUUGAGCAAUAUAUUCCCUUCGAGAAGAAAGCAAGCGGCUUAUUGACAAGU
rnacentral:lncRNA from 1 species